AGAUUUUGAUGAUGACUGAUGUUUUUACCUACAUUGUAUGAAAUGAUGUGAUUUGAUAAAAAUUCUGAAAAAUCU